ensembl:lncRNA
CUUCUGCCAUGAAGUGCCUUUUUGCCUUUUUGUGAUGUACAAUGAGGAGCAUGGGGAAGAGAGAAAGUCAACUUGAGUGGACAGAGCCAGAGGUGUGCUUCUGCUGAAGGUGACUGGAAUGGCUUUAACCCCAAGGUCAUAUUUGGAAGCCACUUGUGGAAGAUUAAGGAGCCGCAGCUAGAGAGAACUCAUUUAUCUGAUUCACCACCUGGGGGAGCACUAUCUAAGUAUCAGAAAUUUUUAUCAGCAGGAAAUAAACUUCUGUUGUGUUAAGCCUUUAAGAUUCCAGGGUUUAUCCAUUAAAAAACAAUCAAAAUACUAACAAAUAGAUUAUUUAUCCAUGAUAGUAACAUUUGCCAUACAUUGACUUAAUACCAAGCAGUGUAUAAGUAGAAUAUCAUUUAAUUGUCUUAUCAGCUGCAUGAAGUAGAUAUCAUUCUCCUUCCUUAUUUUGUAGAUAAGGAAGGCAUCUAUGUUUCACAGUGAUAAACAAACUGGUCCUAACAACCCCUAGUAACUUCUUAAAGGCUAUUUAGAGUCUCAGAGUUUUUAACCUAAAAGAUUAUUAUAGAACAAAGCCCAGGGAAGUUUGCUUCUGCCUCAUAGAGAAAGUAAGUUCCUCAUUCAUUUUAAAUCUGUAUAUGUAAAAGAGUUAGAGACAGUGUAAUCAAUGUAUAAUUAUGUAUAGUAUUACAAUUCAUAAUAGCCUUUUAAUUAUCUGAAAAAUUAUAUGUUCUAACAUGUAUAUGCAAGGUCAAAUUCUAUAAGUCCAAGACAUAGGAAUAUAUCAUCUAAUAAAGACUUUCCAGAUACAGCUUUUACCUGACAUAACCUAUUUAAAAUGGACAGCUCAAAAUCAGCCUGGUUCGACCUAAGUGUAUAUGCUCAAGUAUUGCACUCACGAUCUUGAAUAUUCACAUUACGGUUCAUUGAAAAGGCGAUGGGCUUUGCAAUAAGAUUGACAACAAAAGGAAAAAUGAUGAGGAAAAUUGCCUUACUUAUCUGCUACAGUACUCUUGAUUGCCAAGUGUAAUUUUACGGUUCAUUAUAAGCAAGGGAAAAGUUUGACCAUUAACAUGAGCACUUGUAUAUCUUAUUGAUACAAAGAAUAAGUUGCUUGAAACACACUUGGUUUUUAAUGAAGCCACUGCAAUUUUGUGUUUUUAAAACAUCAUCAAUUUUCAUCAGUUUUACCCCUGCUGGAAUUUUAUGGGGGUAAAAUAGUUAAAGGUCAUCAGACGCUGUGGGACAUAAAACUGUAGAAAAAUGAAGAUGUUAAAUGACACAGGAGUGACAUCAUCUAUUUUCUGAGUUACCGCUUGACAUAGUACGAGAUUUGACUGGGUAAUUGAGGUAAAUAGUAUUGCUGUUACAGAUGUCAUGAUGGAUCAGAUAAGGAUCAGAUAACAUAACAACUUUAAUCAUCCUUUAACACAGGGGAUCAUUGCUCUAAAGUACUAUGGGGAAUGCCCCAUUUAAAAUUGUAUUUCUGCAUUCUACUAAAUAUUCCUAAACUUUAGUUCCCUAAAGGACACUCCACUGCUAAAAACAAUUUAAUACCUUCUCAUCAUCUAGGACUGUGUGGUUCAAAACUAUACCCACUAGCCACAUGGGGAUGAUUUAAAUUACAUUAAAUUAAAAUUAUAAUUCAGUUUCUCAGUCAUAAUCAGCACAUUUCAAGUGUUCAAUGCCUUCAAGGGGCUAGUGGCUACUCUUUAAGACAAUGCAACUCUACACAGUUUCCAUCAACUCAGAAAGUUCUAUUUGAUAGCUUAUAUCUAGAUCUGGACUAUCCAACAUGGUAGCCUCUGGCCACAUAUGGAGAUUGAGUGCUUGAAAUAUGGCCAAACGUGAGAUGUGCCAUCCAUGCAAAUUACAUACCAGAUUUGGAAAACAGUUCAAAAAGAAUACUAUAAAAUAGCUUAUUAAUAAUUUUGUAAGCUCAUUACAUUUGAACAAUGCUUUAUUUAUACUUUUAAAUAAAACAUAGUACUAAAGUCAAUGUCAUCUGUUACUUUUUAACUUUUUAAAACAUGACAACUAGAAAGUUUAAAUUUAUUUAUUUAUUUUGAGAUAGAAUCUAGCUCUG